GGGGAAUAUUGGACAAUGGGGGAAACCCUGAUCCAGCCAUGCCGCGUGAGUGAUGAAGGCCUUCGGGUUGUAAAGCUCUUUUAUAGGGGAAGAUAAUGACGGUACCCUAAGAAUAAGCACCGGCAAACUUCGUGCCAGCAGCCGCGGUAAUACGAAGGGUGCAAGCGUUGUUCGGAAUGACUGGGCGUAAAGGGCGAGUAGGCGGUUAGACAAGUUAGGUGUGAAAGGCCUGGGCUCAACCUGGGAAUUGCACUUAAGACUGUCUGGCUUGAGUAUGGGAGAGGAUAGCGGAAUUCCAAGUGUAGAGGUGAAAUUCGUAGAUAUUUGGAAGAACACCGGUGGCGAAGGCGGCUAUCUGGACCAUAACUGACGCUGAGGCGCGAAAGCGUGGGGAGCAAAC
rnacentral:rRNA from 1 species